UCAAUGAUUUUUUAAAUUGCUGUAGUAUUUUGACUAUACAAAGGUAUUGAAAUAAGAUUUUAAUUGAAUGCUAAGAGAAUGGAAGUCCAGAAAAAAACUUUUUUUAAAUUAAAAAUUGAAGUUUUUUUAAUUUGUGCAGAAACAAUUAUUUAUAUUAAAGACAAGAAGACCCUAUGAAUUUAUUAAAUUUUUAUUUAAUAUGUAAUUACUAUUAGAAAAAUUUUGGCUGGGGCGGCUAGAAAAUAUUAUGAACUUUUUAAAAAUAAAAUGAUCCAUUAUUAAUGAUUUUAUGUUAAAUACUCUAGGGA
rnacentral:rRNA from 1 species